ACAUUUAUAAGGUUUAUCUCCAGUGUGUGUUCUUAUGUGACUCAGUAAGCUAUUACUCUGACUAAACCCUUUACCACAUACAUCACAUUUAUAGGAUUUAUCUCCAGUGUGUGUUCUCAAGUGUGUCUGUAAGUUACCAAUCUGACUAAACCCUUUACCACAUACAUCACAUUUAUAAGGUUUAUCUCCAGUGUGUGUUCUAAUGUGUUUCUGUAAGUCACCAUUCUGACUAAACCCUUUACCACAUACAUCACAUUUAUAAGGUUUAUCUCCAGUAUGUGUUCUCAUGUGUCUCUGUAAGUUACCAAAAUCACUAAACCCAGUACCACAUACAUCACAUUUAUAAGGUUUAUCUCUAGUGUGUGUUCUCAUGUGUUUCUGUAAAUCUUGACUCUGACUAAACCCUUUACCACAAACAUCACAUUUAAAAGGUUUAUCUCCAGUGUGUGUUCUCAUGUGUGUCUGUAAGUUACAACUCACACUAAACCCUUUACCACAUACAUCACAUUUAUAAGGUUUAUCUCCUGUGGUGUUAUCAUGUGUCUGUAAUUAUUACUCUGACUAACCCUUACCACAUACAUCACAUUUAUAAGGUUUUAUCUCCAGUGUGUGUUCUUUCAUGUUUCUGUAAGAUUACUCUGACUAACCCUUUAACCACUACACACAUUAUAAGGUUUAUCUCCAGUGUGUGUUCCAGUAGUUAUUACUCUGACUAAACCCUUUUACAUCACAUUUUAUAAGGUUAUCUCCAGUGUGUGUUCUACUGUGUUGAUGUAAGUCAUUACUCUGAACUAAACCCUUUACCACAUACAUCACAUUUAUAAGGUUUUAUCUCAGUGUUGUUCUCAUGUUUGACUGUAAGCUAUUACUCUGACAAACCCUUUAACCACAUCAUCACAUUUAUAAGGUUAUCCAUCAGUGUGUGUUCUCAGUUGACGUAAGCUAUUACUCUGACUCUCACUACAGGUUUAUCUCCAGUGUGUGUUCUCAACUGUAAGCUAUUCUCUCAUACCAAUACCACAUUUAUAAGGUUUAUCUCCGUAUGUUAAUCAUGUGUCUCUGUAAAUCACACUCUGACUAAACCCUUUACCACAUACAUCAAUUUUAUAAGGUUUAUCUCCAGUGUGUGUUAUCAUGUGUCUCUGUAAAUCACCACUCUGACUAAACCCAUUACCACAUACAUCACAUUUAUAAUGUUUAUCUCCAGUGUGUGUUCUCAUGUGUCUCUGUAAGACCCAAUUCUGACUAAACCCUUUACCACAUACAUCACAUUUAUAAGGUUUAUCUCCAGUGUGUGUUCUAAUGUGUUUCUGUAAGUUAUUACUCAUACUAAACCCUUUACCACAUACAUCACAUUUAUAAGGUUUAUAUCCAGUGUGUGUUCUUAUGUGACCCUGUAAGUUACCAUUCUGACUAAACCCUUUACCACAUACAUCACAUUUAUAAGGUUUGUCUCCCGUGUGUGUUCUAAUGUGAUCCUGCAAGUGAGGACUCUGACUAAACC
rnacentral:lncRNA from 1 species